UUAGCGGCUAGUAUGAAUGGGUUCACAAAAAGAUACCUGUCUCCCCCCUAAAAACUUAAUCUAACCUUCAAGUGAAAAGGCUUGAAUUCCAAAAAAAGACAAAAAGACCCUGUCGCGCUUAAAGACACCUUAUUUAUAAAUUUAUAUAACUCUCUUUUAGUUGGGACGACUUCUGAUAACCUAUAUCACCAGAGAAAAAAAAGAAAAAACCUUCAACUUUUUGACCCUAUUAAGAUCAAAUAAUUAGCAACCGCAGGGAUAACAGACUAAUUUUCUUACUAGAGCCCAUAUCGACUAAGAAGGUUGGCACCUCGAUGUUGGCUUAGGGGAGCAACUA
rnacentral:rRNA from 1 species